UACGGAGGAUGCAAGCGUUAUCCGGAUUCAUUGGGUUUAAAGGGUGCGCAGGCGGGAAAGUAAGUCAGUGGUGAAAGCCCGGGGCUCAACCGCGGGACUGCAUUGGAAACUGUAGAUCUGGAGUGCCGGAGGGGCAAGCGGAAUUCCUGGUGUAGCGGUGAAAUGCGUAGAUAUCAGGAGGAACACCGGCGGCGAAGGCGGCUUUCUGGACUGUAACUGACGCUGAGGCACGAAAGCGUGGGGAGCAAACAGGAUUAGAUACCCGCGUAGU
rnacentral:rRNA from 1 species